rnacentral:rRNA from 1 species
UACGUAGGGGGCUAGCGUUGUCCGGAAUCAUUGGGCGUAAAGAGCUCGUAGGCGGUUCGUCGCGUCGGCUGUGAAAUCCCGAGGCUCAACCUCGGGUCUGCAGUCGAUACGGGCGGACUGGAGUUCGGCAGGGGAGACUGGAAUUCCUGGUGUAGCGGUGAAAUGCGCAGAUAUCAGGAGGAACACCGGUGGCGAAGGCGGGUCUCUGGGCCGAUACUGACGCUGAGGAGCGAAAGCGUGGGGAGCGAACAGG